rnacentral:lncRNA from 1 species
UUCUGCUGUUGGCUUUCAGGGCUCAUCACUGUCAGCUAUUUUGCCCUGGGGCUAGGUUUUCACUGCAGCAGUGUAGGCUUGAAAUGGCCCAGUGCUAUGGAUUUCUGAGCCUCACUGUGGAAUGGUUCCAGAGCCUGUUACUUAAAGAGGAAAUACUUUGGUCCUUCAUUCUUGGGCCAUGGGGCCAUGCAGAACCACAGAACCUUUUAAUUUCAAUGGACCUCAUAGGCCAUCUAGUCUGACCAGGGCCUGGAUGAGAACUCUUUCCCUUUUCCAGACAAGUGCUAUUUUAUAUGGCUGGAAGAGCUCCUCAGGACUAUCUUGGAGACCAAGAGCCUGCAUAGAAUAAUGGAGAGAGAGCUGGAGUGAAGUCACACAGACUCUGGACCCUGGCAAAGUCAUUUAACACAUCUGAGCCUCAGUGUCUUUAUCUGUAAAGUGGGGAGAUUGGAUUCAUGGAAUAAAAAGGAGGCCUACUGUGUGCCCA